GGCAGCACUGAUGGACGAUGGGACACUGACAAAUACAACUCGUACAUGGAGUUUUCACCAUUUUGGCUCUAACAUUACAUUAGCAAAUCUAAUGAAGAUGUUGUUUUUUAUCUAUUUAACCUUUUUUUCAUGAGGUUUCAUUAGGUUGAAUCACCCGUUUUGCAAGAUACCUGACACACAACAUACUUUAACCUCACAACAAGACAUAUUUAGGCCUCGGAUUUUUGACAAACAGUAUUGAGUAGGAAAAAGGAGGAGGAAAGAAAUGGACCUGGACAAAGCAAUGUGGUCUAUCAAGUUAUGAAGCAUUCCUGGAAUCAACUUCAACACCAAGCAAUACUUUAUCAAACUGCAAGGAAUCAUAUAAGCUAGAGGCUGUGUGAUAUGUUUGAUAUUCGGUUGUUCUCCUGCGUUUUCACGUCAACUAAAUAUCAGACAUAUUCCUACAGAUUCUGGCACGUUAACAUCACCUUGAUCCAGCUCACCAAAACCAGAACAUCUGCAUACAUUAUGUGCUUUAUUGUCCAUUUGUUUCUUACUUAUUUUAGACCAUAUGUAAUCCUGUAAUUAAUUUAAAGUGAUAUUUUUUAUGAAUUAAGAAUAUCAUGUAUGUCCUCACAUUUGAUUGUGCAAUCGUUAUCUUUCCUUAUCAGAGGGUGCUAUGUAGUAUUUGCAGUUCCUUAAUGUCUUUGAAUGGACUAUCCAAAGAGGCAAACCCGUAGGUAAUUGUCUUUGUCAGUCAGGCUGUCACAAAGACAGACAGGCUGCCGUUUAUGUAUAUCCAUGUUGCAUGAGUAAACAAGGUUGAAUUUCCUUUAUUUUUUUACUGACUUCCCUUUUUUUUUACUGAAUAGAAAUUCAAUAGUCUUCAAACCUG